rnacentral:rRNA from 1 species
UACAGAGGUCCCAAGCGUUGUUCGGAUUCACUGGGCGUAAAGGGUGCGUAGGCGGUCGGGUAAGUCUGACGUGAAAUCUCCAAGCUCAACUUGGAAAUGGCGUCGGAUACUAUCCGGCUGGAGGAAUGGAGGGGAGACUGGAAUUCUCGGUGUAGCAGUGAAAUGCGUAGAUAUCGAGAGGAACACCAGUGGCGAAGGCGAGUCUCUGGACAUUUCCUGACGCUGAGGCACGAAAGCCAGGGGAGCAAACGGG